AGAUAAAGAGAAAUCAGCGGAUUUUGAUUCCGCAUUCGGAGGUUCGAUCCCUCC
rnacentral:tRNA from 1 species